AAUGAACGCUGGCGGCGUGCCUAACACAUGCAAGUCGAGCGAGAAAGCUCCUUCGGGAGUAAGUACAGCGGCGGACGGGUGAGAAACGCGUGAGAAUUUACCCUUUAGUGAAGAAUACCUCUGAGAAAUCGGAGUUAAUACUGCAUACGUCUCUUCGGAGAGAAAGGUGGCCUCUUGCUGCAGCUAAAGGAUGAGCUUGCGUACUAUUAGCUAGUUGGUGGGGUAAAGGCCUACCAAGGCGAUGAUGGUUAGCCGGCCUGAGAGGGUGUACGGCCACACUGGAACUUAGACACGGUCCAGACUCCUACGGGAGGCAGCAGUGGGGAAUAUUGCGCAAUGGGCGAAAGCCUGACGCAGCGACGCCGCGUGGAGGAUGAAGGUCUUCGGAUUGUAAACUUCUGUUAAGUGGGAAGAAAUACUUAUCAUUAAUACCGAUAGGGGAUGACUGUACCAUUAGAGAAAGCACCGGCUAACUUCGUGCCAGCAGCCGCGGUAA
rnacentral:rRNA from 1 species